rnacentral:rRNA from 1 species
UCGAGGAUAUUUAGCAAUGGGCGAAAGCCUGACUAUGCGACGCCGCGUGAGGGAUGAAGGAUUUCGGUUCGUAAACCUCUUUUGGCAGGGAAGAACAUUUCGUAUCUAAUCACUACGAAACUGACGGUACCUGCAGAAUCAGCCACGGCUAACUCCGUGCCAGCAGCCGCGGUAAUACGGAGGUGGCUAGCGUUACUCGGAAUUAUUGGGUGUAAAGGGCAAGUAGGCGGCUUAGUAAGUGGGGGGUGAAAUACUCCGGCUCAAUCGGAGAACUGCCUUCCAAACUGCUAAGCUUGAGUAUGACAGAGGAAAAUGGAAUUCUUGGUGUAAGGGUGAAAUCUGUAGAUAUCAAGAAGAACACCAGCUGCGAAGGCGAUUUUCUGGGUCAUUACUGACGCUAAAUUGCGAAAGCUAGGGGAGCAAACAGA